rnacentral:rRNA from 1 species
AGAGUUUGAUCAUGGCUCAGAACGAACGCUGGCGGCGUGCUUAACACAUGCAAGUCGAGUGCGCGCCUGUAGCAAUACAGGUGGCGCACGGCGCACGGGUGCGUAACACGUGGGUAAUCUGCCCUCUGAUGGGGAAUAACCCGCCGAAAGGCGGGCUAAUACCGCAUAACAUUCCUUGGAUUUCGGUCCGGGGACUCAAAGGCGUAAGUCGUCGGAGGAGGAGCCCGCGCACGAUUAGCUAGUUGGUAGGGUAAUGGCCUACCAAGGCUUUGAUCGUUAGCUGGUCUGAGAGGAUGGCCAGCCACACUGGAACUGAGACACGGUCCAGACUCCUACGGGAGGCAGCAGUGGGGAAUCUUGCACAAUGGGCGAAAGCCUGAUGCAGCGACGCCGCGUGGGGGAUGAAGCAUUUCGGUGUGUAAACCCCUUUCGAUCCGGACGAAUGCCUCGCAAGAGGGGUGACGGUACGGAUAUAAGAAGCCCCGGCUAACUACGUGCCAGCAGCCGCGGUAAGACGUAGGGGGCCAGCGUUGUUCGGAAUUACUGGGUGUAAAGGGUUCGUAGGCGGUGUGGCAAGUUGGGAGUGAAAUCUCUGGGCUCAACCCAGAGGCUGCUUCCAAAACUGCUGUGCUUGAGUGUGAGAGAGGCGCGUGGAAUUGCAGGUGUAGCGGUGAAAUGCGUAGAUAUCUGCAGGAACACCCGUGGCGAAAGCGGCGCGCUGGAUCACUACUGACGCUGAGGAACGAAAGCUAGGGGAGCAAACAGGAUUAGAUACCCCCGUAGUCC